rnacentral:rRNA from 1 species
GUGGGGAAUCUUGCGCAAUGGGCGAAAGCCUGACGCAGCCAUGCCGCGUGAAUGAUGAAGGUCUUAGGAUUGUAAAAUUCUUUCACCGGGGACGAUAAUGACGGUACCCGGAGAAGAAGCUCCGGCUAACUUCGUGCCAGCAGUCGCGGUAAUACGAAGGGGGCUAGCGUUGUUCGGAAUUACUGGGCGUAAAGGGCGCGUAGGCGGACUGCUUAGUCCGAGGUGAAAGCCCAGGGCUCAACCUUGGAAUUGCCUUUGAUACUGGCUGUCUUGAGUUUGGGAGAGGUGAGUGGAACUCCGAGUGUAGAGGUGAAAUUCGUAGAUAUUCGGAAGAACACCAGUGGCGAAGGCGACUCACUGGCCCAAUACUGACGCUGAGGCGCGAAAGCGUGGGGAGCAAACAGGAUUAGAUACCCGAGUAGUCC